AUUGAACGCUGGCGGCAUGCUUUACACAUGCAAGUCGAACGGCAGCGGGGGUGCUUGCACCUGCCGGCGAGUGGCGAACGGGUGAGUAAUACAUCGGAACGUAUCCUUAAGUGGGGAAUAACGCAUCGAAAGGUGUGCUAAUACCGCAUAGUCUUUUUACAAGAAAGACAGGGGAGUCGAAAGAACCUUGCGCUUGAGGAGCGGCCGAUGUCUGAUUAGCUAGUUGGUGGGGUAAAGGCCUACCAAGGCGACGAUCAGUAGUUGGUCUGAGAGGACGACCAACCACAUGGGACUGAGACACGGCCCAGACUCCUACGGGAGGCAGCAG
rnacentral:rRNA from 1 species